ensembl:lncRNA
GUAUAACCACUGCAGUGCAGUACUGUACCCAGCCAGGUGCAGAUCUAGUCUUUCCUUUCUAGAGAGGCUAACCAUGCUGGGUAACUGAUCAACUACAGCUGCCUGCAUGCGGUGCAAGGCUAACAGCAGAGAAACACAGGCAGAGAGAGAGAGAGAGAUAGAAGGAGAGCAGAGAGAGAGAACAGAGAGAAACACACAGAGAAACACACGGUUUAGGAUAUCAGCAACGAGGUGGCUAGCCGCUCCUCUACUUACCAGCACUGGCAGAGCACAGCAGAGACACCAAGAGCACAAUCACCAGCGUCAGGAUCUUCACAUUCAUUUCUGCUCUCCCCUCGGUCUCUCUGCUAGUCACUCGCUGAUAUACUGUAGUGGUGUGUGUGUGUAUGUGUGAGGAUGGGAGGGAGAGGGAGAUAGAGAAGGAGAGGGGAGAGAGAGAGAGAGAGAGAGAGAGAGAGAGAGAGAGAGAGAGAGAGAGAGAGAGAGAGAGAGAGGAGAGAGAGAGAGGGAGAGAGAGAGGGAGAGGGAGAGCAGCUGAGCGAGCAAGAAGGGGGGAAAGAGAGAGAGAGAGUGUUUGCUCCCGUGUGUGUGUGUGUGUGUACUCGUGCGUCAGUGAGAAGAGAGUGACUGCUCGGGCUCUGUGUGUGUCUCUGUAUGAAAGUGACGGCCAGAAAUGGUAUGCCUGCUCUCGCGCGUUGGCAGCCUGCUUGUGUGUGUGCGUGCUUGUGUGUGUGUGUGUGUGUGUGUGUGUGUGUUCUGAAAGCGUGGUUGUAUAUCGCCGUGUGACAGCGCCACUCCAAGACUGAAGGCACGUCUUUAUCUGAGCUCUGUUUCCACCGAGGUGUAUCUUCUUCCCCCUUCUCUCUCUGUCUCCUUCUCUGUAGCCGGAGCCAAGUUCAGUAGAGAUGUAAAUGUCCUGGGAAUCGGCUUGCAGGUCUGUCCUCCUGUCUGUCUGUUUCUGUGUGUGGAUGUGUCCGUCUCUGGGUCUGGGCGUAUGUACGAG